rnacentral:rRNA from 1 species
CCUACGGGUGACAGCAGUGAGGAAUAUUGGUCAAUGGGCGUAAGCCUGAACCAGCCAAGUCGCGUGAGGGAUGAAGGUUCUAUGGAUCGUAAACCUCUUUUAUAAGGGAAUAAAGUGUGGGACGUGUCCUGUUUUGUAUGUACCUUAUGAAUAAGGAUCGGCUAACUCCGUGCCAGCAGCCGCGGUAAUACGGAGGAUCCGAGCGUUAUCCGGAUUUAUUGGGUUUAAAGGGUGCGUAGGCGGCCUUUUAAGUCAGCGGUGAAAGUCUGUGGCUCAACCAUGGAAUUGCCGUUGAAACUGGGUGGCUUGAGUAUGUUUGAGGCAGGCGGAAUGCGUGGUGUAGCGGUGAAAUGCUUAGAUAUCACGAAGAACCCCAAUGGCGAAGGCGGCCUGCCAAGCCAUAACUGACGCUGAGGCACGAAAGCGUGGGGAUCAAACAGGAUUAGAUACCCUAGUAGUC